UUUUUGAUACUCAGUACAAAGUACAAAGUAGCCAAAAAAAAACCUUAAGUACAGUAACAAAGUACAUUUACUUAAGUACUUUACACCUCUGCGUGUGAUUCACAGAACAAACGCACGCACAGAAAACGCGCUUAACGUUACCCCUUUCUUUCAGAUGUGAAAUCUAUAAAUCGCAAAUUAUCUUGAACUAGUAUGCAUCUGAACAGUAAGAUUUCCACCUUUAAACGAUGCCUAAUUAAUGCCAUUGACAUAUAAAAGAGCGCAUGUCAAUGUUUAAACCCUUUAUGAGCAGCAAGAAUGGCUUAUAUUUUCAAAAACCUGCAGCAAUCGGACAAGCAAAAGUGCCUCAAAGUACCUCAAAACUAACCUCAAAACAAACGUCAGUGUCAGUAGCGGUAGCGUGAAAAGUUUAAUCCGCGGGAAAGCUGAUGCAGCCAAGGCCUUUUAAUAGAAGCUGCUGGCAACGCAAAGACCCGCCCUUCACGUAACCCCAUUUGUUCAGCUCCCAUCCAUUGACCAAUCGGCUAUCCUAACCUUAACCACACUGUGAUGACCUCACGUGAUGACCAAAGAGCUUUUAUUGUUUUUGUGAAACAGACCGCAGUAGGUUUUUGAAACUCCCGUUUAUGGGAAGUUUAGACCCCCCCCCCCCAAAAAAAACAAAAACUCUUCGGAUCUACAUGAUUCACGUGGAUGACCUUUUUCAAUUCAAAACGGCGAUUUUCGCCGAAAAGCGACUAGUUUGCAGGUAUGUAUGUAACCAAGAAGUGACAUGCUGUUAUACAAUUAUAUAAAGGUGAAUCUGUUUUAAUUCUAGUUGUCCAGCUACAGAUUAAGAUGCUUAGUAUGAUUAAUCAUCCUCUGUUGUCAUGGAUGAACCUGGUGAUGUUUUAUGGAGGAGGAAAAAACAAAAAAGACUCAUCUGAUGAGAAACCACUGCAAGAAUCUCAUCCUGUUCACACAAGUCUGUGCAGCAUGCAUGUAUCAGCAUUUUUUGUGACCAGUGACUUCUCUUCUGAGGGGCGUGAAUUCCAAAUAUGUGUUUGUUGUGAUGUGUGUGAACCAUGUGCAUCAUGCCUCUUGUCACAAUACGUGCCUGCUGCACACGCGUUGAAAAGGUUUAUGAUAAAAGAAGCACUCAUGUUCACAAAAUACUCGCAAGACACUAACUUGACACUAAACUGUGAUUACACAGGAGAUUAAGUCAGUAUCAGGCAAACGUGAGCGUAUCUUUUAUCAUAAACCCUUUACAUGCGUGUGCAGCAGAUUUUGACAUCACGUGUGAUGCACAUAAGUUUACAUGACGCGCUGAACACAUAUUUUGAAAUGACAAGCAACACACAUGACGAGCUCAAUGCAUGUGACCAGCUUCGCAACGUGUGCCCUCGAAAAAAGUCACCGGCCGACACUGACCCAGAUCAUCAAGAUGUUAAAGCUGUUUGGGCUUCAGAGCAUCUUGUCAGCACCUUCUUCCACCAUGUACACAAUUUCUACCAUCGUGAAGGCGUGGCAGAAUGAGAGAUUUGCAGUCACCACAGGCUCUACGAGAAUGCAGCACUGUCCUGUCUUCCACUACACCUGCUCCCCUCUCCAGAGCCAUCCAGAGGAUCAACAAGGAUGAAGCUGUUGGGAUCUAUUAAUCACAGCAUUCACAAUUUAACACAUUAUUAUAAUACCCGCACAUAUGAUGGAAAGAUACUGAUUUUUUUAAAAUGUUUUUAAAUGGGUCAGAUUGUAUAUCUUUCUUUCGGUGCUACAUAAAUAAAACUAAAUCGAAUUACAAAUGCAGAUCUACUUUGUAUAUAUCUGAUCUAAACUUCAUAAACCAGUUUUUAUACGGUAAGACAAUUUGUGAUUAUUGUUUAUUGAUUGUCACAAAAUGGGGGUAUUCAAACCAUUUAUAAAGUCCUCCUUCCUCUGGAACCUGUCCUCGAAUGGCUGACACAUGCAGGUAAGGGCGCCUGCACAGAGUUCCUUAGACACCCAGCGGAUAACUUGCCUAUGCUGUAUUUAGUGGUAUUGUCUGGAGAUGGGAAAACUAUUAAUAUUGUUAAUUUGAAUAUUGACUAGUGCCAGCAAAAAUUGUGACUUAGUCAUGACCUAUA